UCUCAGGCUGACUGUGCUGUCCUG
rnacentral:piRNA from 1 species